UCAUCUGAAGCUAGAAUUCAAAUUUGCAGGAUAUUUCCAUGCCAUCACACUAGCAGAGUUCAACUUUGUGCAUUACACAACAUUGCGAUGGUACCCCAAAAAAGGAAAGAACAAACUGUGACAAUUUUUAGCGGGGAGUCAUAGAGCUCACAAAGCCAUAGGAAUCUCUAAAGAAAAACCUAACAUAUUGGUUCAGCACGAAUGUGCUACAGAGCAUUAUUAAAGCCACAAAUGGACAACCAGAGGCCAAUCAAACCCGAACAGGCUCUUGUCAUCAACAAUAUUUCAUAGGAUGAUCUACAUAUUUUACCAACCACCGUUGCAGUUGGUCAACAUCAUGCGAUUAAUUCCUCACGUUCUGCAAGCGAGCGACACAUUUCUCAAGGAGUAGUACUUCAUUUACAGCUACAUUUGCCGCCCGACCGAAACCUGCACAGCAGCAAUCUCAUCAGCGGAACCGACUUUGGCUACUCACAAUCACAAGGGGCAAAUAUAUAGAGAAAACGAUAUCUGUUCAAACUGCACUAGCAAAACAGUUUCCACCAGUUAAGCUUGUUCUCUCGUCUCUUUGCACAUCUCAACAGAGAGAGAACAAGUAGUAGACUGUACUAGCAAGAUUUCUAGUAAUACCGAAAUACUUUUGGCUCAAGGUGAUGAUUAGUGACAAUGAGAGCAUGAGUUCAUAUCUGAAGAUUGAACUGAAACCUUCCAGUCAUUGUGUUCUCUAAAAUGCAAAGACUCCAGCUCAUGACUGAAGACUGAUGCAACUAUACGACAAAAGGAUAUCAAAGAAAUGAUAUAAAAUUGUUGAUAUGAUAAACUGCAUUGUGGUAGCAUGUCAGCAUAAUGAACUAUAAACUGUGCAGAUCGAGGAGUGUUUCCCAGCUCCAAGAGAAAAAGCGAACAAGGUUAAAGUAGGCGAUAAUGCACAUUAUUCAAGGUUCCAGCUGUAUUGUGCAUAGCACUGGAUUUUUUUUACCACUAAAGAGAAUAUUGAUCCAGUGCUUGCAAACGAAACAAUAGAUAAUAGUAACAGAGGAUGUCGUAUCACCUCUUCAACCAACAAAGCGUACCAGAAGAUGUAACAGCACAAUCAUCUCAACUGUUGUUCAGCAGUUCAACUUGAUCAUUUGCACCACCAAUGGUAAUUACUACGAGAAGAAUAUAAGUCAAUAACUAUUGAAAAACAUGGACAAGAAAAUAACUGAUAAGAGGUGGUGAAACAUAAAUGAAACACUUAUUAUAUAUCUCACCUUCCAGAAAAUACUAGCUUUUGCUACAAGUAGUCAAAGAACAAUUAAGAAAUGACAUGUACAGCAAGAAAUCAAGAAUUAAAUAUUCAUCAAGACAUCUAAUCUACCUCAAAUUAAACAAAGGAUAACGGUAUUCAGUGAUUUACUUAACCAAGAAGCAUUUUAGAAUUUAUUUUGGUGUGGGCCCAUUCAUAAUUUAUAUCUAUGUUUUGUAUGCACAUGAAAGCGAAAGAAUACCAGAAUGAACACAUAUUUUCUGCAGUUCAGAACAAAGAAUGCAGACCAGAGAAAUAAGAAAGUAAGUAACCACCCUAAAUUCCAACAUAGCUUGAAGCUCGAGCAAUUGACAAGGCAAUAUCCAGAGUCCAG
rnacentral:lncRNA from 1 species